rnacentral:rRNA from 1 species
UACAGAGGGUGCGAGCGUUAAUCGGAAUUACUGGGCGUAAAGCGUGCGUAGACGGUUAUCUAAGUCGGAUGUGAAAGCCCCGGGCUCAACCUGGGAAUUGCAUUCGAGACUGAAUAGCUAGGGUACGGCAGAGGGAAGUGGAAUUUCCGGUGUAGCGGUGAAAUGCGUAGAUAUUACCAGGAACACCAAUGGCGAAGGCAGCUUGCUGGGCCAUUUCUGACGCUGAGGUACGAAAGCGUGGGGAGCGAACAGG